AAGUAUGCACUUUGCAAAAAGAAGCUGCUAACUACUUUUUUAGUGGUGAAAUCCAUUAAUACUUCUUUA
rnacentral:tRNA from 1 species